rnacentral:misc_RNA from 1 species
CAAAUCCCGGCUAGCGCA